rnacentral:misc_RNA from 1 species
AAGUCGUAACAAGGUUUCCGUAGGUGAACCUGCGGAAGGAUCAUUACCAAAUCCAAAUUAUCUAACCCCGUGUGAACUAUUGUAGUAAGUUUGUCUUUGGGAGGAAAAAAAAGUUUAUAAAAGGGCGCAAGUCUUUUUUAUUAACAAUUUUUUCCUCCCAAAAGAAUCCGGCACAUUCUCUCUUUUUUUGAGAUUGUGUGUUAAAAUAGGAUUCGGUUGACUACCCUUUUUUAAACCACUUGAUUCAUUGUUGGAAUUGGCUCUUUAUUAAAUUUUAAUAAAAAUGACAACUUUUAACGGCGGAUCUCUUGGCUCGUG